rnacentral:rRNA from 1 species
GAUGAACGCUGGCGGCGUGCCUAAUACAUGCCAGUCGAGCGAACGGACGAGAAGCUUGCUUCUCUGAUGUUAGCGGCGGACGGGUGAGUAACACGUGGAUAACCUACCUCUAAGACUGGGAUAACUUCGGGAAACCGGAGCUAAUACCGGAUAAUAUUUUGAACCGCAUGGUUCAAAAGUGAAAGACGGUCUUGCUGUCACUUAUAGAUGGAUCCGCGCUGCAUUAGCUAGUUGGUAAGGUAACGGCUUACCAAGGCAACGAUGCAUAGCCGACCUGAGAGGGUGAUCGGCCACACUGGAACUGAGACACGGUCCAGACUCCUACGGGAGGCAGCAGUAGGGAAUAUUCCGCAAUGGGCGAAAGCCUGACGGAGCAACGCCGCGUGAGUGAUGAAGGUCUUCGGAUCGUAAAACUCUGUUAUUAGGGAAGAACAUAUGUGUAAGUAACUGUGCACAUCUUGACGGUACCUAAUCAGAAAGCCACGGCUAACUACGUG